rnacentral:lncRNA from 1 species
CGUGUUGCAAUUUUGGAGGGGGGGGUAUCUGCCCUGCUCCCUGUCAGACUGUGAGGUCCCCAGGGUGAGAGACUUGCUUGUGUCUGUGUCCCCAGCACCCAGCACAGGGCUGGGCACAGAGGAAAUGCCUAAUAAAUGUUGACUGGCUAGCUGGCAGGAGGAUGGGGAUACAUCCAAGUGGGGAAACGGCAGGCGCAGUUGCAUGGCAACCAGGAGCCCAAGGACUGACUAUCAAAACAGCCCCUGGAAUGAUCUGGAAGCUUCAUGGCCCCAUCAGAUAAGCACAUCCGCUCAUCCCUGUGGCUGUCUCUGUGGAACAAAGAUGUGGAUUGCACAAUUGGGCUUGGGCUGAGGAGGCACUUACUGGCCCCUUUAUCUGGCGUGGGCAUCCGGCUCCAUGUUCUAGAACUGCACAGCCCACACCUCCCAGCAGGCCACACGUCCUGGGCUCCGGCAGCAGCAGUGGGCGGGCAGAAAUAAAAAUGGCCACUUCUUAAUUUCAGAAUAUUUUGCAGCUGAAAUUAUCUUCAAAAGGCGUCAACCUCUGUCUGCUCUGUAUUUAAGACAGCAGAACAACAGGAAACAAAAAUGCCUCCUCUUCUGUUGACUCUAGGCCAGAAACCGACCUCUGUACCCUCUCAGGAAGACCUGGAUUUUGAAAGCUGGCAUCUGGAGUUUUUAUCUCAAGAACAAUCCUCUCCACUCAAUAAUAGGAAAGAAACAGCAAAGGGUUAAAAACAAUUUUUUUUUUUUUAACAUCAAAAUCGGGUUUGGUUCUCCAGAAAAGGCCAGAAGAGCUGAAGCUAAUUCACAUGUUACUCAAACAACCAACCCCAAGAGAAACCAAGUUUCCUGGAAGAACAAAAGUCAAAGGCAGGAGCUGUUCAAAAGCAAGCUCAAAGUGAAACCAGAUUACGUGGGGGCCACAAGGCGGCCUUUAAGCUGAACCUCAAAAAUAGCAUCUGUCCCCUGGAUAUUUUGGGAGUGUCCUGGGCAAAGCACGGGAGGAGCC